GAAAUCAAAACAAAUAGAUAUAAUAAUAUUAAAAUUAUAAUUUUUAAAAGACAAUAUCAUAUUUGGAGACUAAUAUGGCAAACACAAUAUCCAUAAUGUCUAAUGCGUUACGAAAUGUUGUGAGCAAAAAACGCAUACGAUACAAGGAAAAAGGAUUUAAUUUGGAUCUUUCAUACAUUUGCCCGAAAAUAAUUGCGAUGGGAUAUCCUGCUCCGGACAUUAUUGAAGGCAUUUACAGAAAUCGCCUAGAGGAUGUUUAUAAAUUUAUGGAAGAAAAUCAUGGAGGGCAUUACAGAAUAUACAAUCUGUGUCAAGAACGGAGUUAUGACAUUAAUAAAUUUCAUGGGAAUGUUGCAACAUACCCGUUUGAGGAUCACAAUCCUCCUCCUAUUGUACUGAUGCAACGUUUUUGCCAAGACGUUGAAUCCUGGCUUAAUAGAGAUCCGUUAAAUGUCGUAGCUGUGCAUUGUAAAGCUGGAAAGGGAAGAACCGGUACUAUGAUAUGUGCAUACUUGGUUCAUAGUAAGUUCUUGAAUACAGCAGAUGAAGCUUUGGCUUUUUAUGAUGAAAAACGUACAAUAGAUCGGAAAGGUGUUACAAUUCCAUCUCAACGUAGAUAUGUUCAGUAUUAUUCAAAUUUAAUCCCAGAUAUACAUUAUGAAGUAGUCAGUCUUUACAUUUCUGAAAUCCGAUUUGCUGAGGCAAAUUACCUGCAUAAUCUUGGUACAGUGCAAUGUUCAAUUUCCGACAGGCAAGAGUCUGCAUCAGAGAAACUUAAGGCGCAUGAACUGAAAACAUGGCCAAUUGAUUUCCAAAAAACUUCAAUAUUGGACUUAACUAGUUCGCCUUUGAUGGUUUCUGGUGAUAUCAAAGUCGAACUUACUCAAAAGUCAUCAAGAAAGAUGAUUUGCAGUUUUUGGGUUAAUACAUUCUUUAUGCAAAAUGAUGCGGCUCGCAUUCUUGAUGGAAAUACCGUAAAGUUUAUGCAUACCUUAAAUAAAUCCGAGAUUGAUGGUGCACAUAAAGACAAAGACCAUAAAUCGUUUUCGGAGGACUUUAAGAUCUCUCUCGUAUUUAUAAAUGAAGAAAAACGCUCUGACAGUAUAAUCGCUGAAUCCUCAAUAGAUAACAGUAGGAGCAAUAAUCAAAGCUCAGAAAAUCUUCCUGGUGAUAAUAAUACGAAUCUAAGCAGUGAGGGUUCAGUUUUAAACUCUCCGUCCUCAAGUCGUUUGUUUGAAGGUCCAUUUCAUACCAGUGAUGAAAGAAGUGAGGGGCAAUCUCACCUAACAGCACAGAGCAGAAAACUAACUAAAAAUCAACAUAAAAAAUCAACUAUCUCAAAAUAUCCUGCAAUGGCAUCUAAACGCAAACAAUCCUCUUCAAAAUGCCUACUAGGUGCUAAUAAUACCUCGUCAGGCAAGGACAACAAAAAACAGCAUAUUUUUAAUCAACCGUCCCGUAAACAAAUCGAAAUGGUGCCUAAUAAUUGGCCCAGUAACAUCUAUGGAAAAGCCUCAGAGGGUCUACAUAUAUUUGAUCGAUGUAAUAUUUCCAAUAUUUCUGGCGGAGAACAGAAUUCACACAAUACUUACAAACGAUCAUCUUCUGAUUCAAAUCAAAGUGGUGAAGAAGGAGACGAGGAUUGGGAAUCCGCUAUGGAGGUAGCUACGUCCGGCACUACGUAAGGAGUCAUAUACCAAAGUGUUCUACUGUAAGAACUGAAACGUCAGAUUCAUCAGUAUAUGUGAUAUUUAUCCGGAGUGAUAUCUACAUCAACCAUGACAAGAGGUGAUAACUCACCACUCCACACUUUUUGGCUGCCAUUAUGUUAUUUAUUUAUU
rnacentral:misc_RNA from 1 species